rnacentral:rRNA from 1 species
CAGUAGCCACGGGAAUACGGAGGGGGCUAGCGUUGUUCGGAAUUACUGGGCGUAAAGCGCACGUAGGCGGCUUGGUAAGUUAGAGGUGAAAGCCCAGGGCUCAACCCUGGAAUUGCCUUUAAGACUGCCGAGCUAGUAGGUGAGAGAGGUGAGUGGAAUUCCGAGUGUAGAGGUGAAAUUCGUAGAUAUUCGGAAGAACACCAGUGGCGAAGGCGGCUCACUGGCUCAUUCUAGACGCUGAGGUGCGAAAGCGUGGGGAGCAAACAGGAUUAGAUACCCCCGUAGUCCCUGUCUCUUAUAC